rnacentral:rRNA from 1 species
UACAGAGGGUGCAAGCGUUAAUCGGAAUUACUGGGCGUAAAGCGUGCGUAGACGGUUAUGUAAGUUAGGUGUGAAAGCCCCGGGCUCAACCUGGGAAUUGCAUUUAAGACUGCAUAGCUAGGGUGCGGAAGAGGGAAGCGGAAGUUUCCGGUGUGAGCGGUGAAAUGCGCAGAUAUACGGGAGGAACACCAAUUGCGAAGGCA